rnacentral:rRNA from 1 species
GACAGAGGGUGCAAACGUUGUUCGGAAUUACUGGGCGUAAAGCGCGCGCAGGCGGUCAUCUACGUCUGGGGUGAAAGCCCGGAGCUCAACUCCGGGAUUGCCUUGGAUACGGGAUGACUUGAGGAUCGGAGAGGCAAGGGGAAUUCCACGUGUAGCGGUGAAAUGCGUAGAGAUGUGGAGGAACACCUGUGGCGAAGGCGCCUUGCUGGCCGAUUUCUGACGCUGAGGCGCGAAAGCGUGGGGAGCAAACAGG